rnacentral:rRNA from 1 species
GGUUAAGCGACUAAGCGUACACGGUGGAUGCCCUGGCAGUCAGAGGCGAUGAAGGACGUGCUAAUCUGCGAUAAGCGUCGGUAAGGUGAUAUGAACCGUUAUAACCGGCGAUUUCCGAAUGGGGAAACCCAGUGUGAUUCGUCACACUAUCAUUAACUGAAUCCAUAGGUUAAUGAGGCGAACCGGGGGAACUGAAACAUCUAAGUACCCCGAGGAAAAGAAAUCAACCGAGAUUCCCCCAGUAGCGGCGAGCGAACGGGGAGCAGCCCAGAGCCUGAAUCAGUGUGUGUGUUAGUGGAAGCGUCUGGAAAGGCGCGCGAUACAGGGUGACAGCCCCGUACACAAAAAUGCACAUGCUGUGAGCUCGAUGAGUAGGGCGGGACACGUGGUAUCCUGUCUGAAUAUGGGGGGACCAUCCUCCAAGGCUAAAUACUCCUGACUGACCGAUAGUGAACCAGUACCGUGAGGGAAAGGCGAAAAGAACCCCGGCGAGGGGAGUGAAAAAGAACCUGAAACCGUGUACGUACAAGCAGUGGGAGCACGCUUAGGCGUGUGACUGCGUACCUUUUGUAUAAUGGGUCAGCGACUUAUAUUCUGUAGCAAGGUUAACCGAAUAGGGGAGCCGAAGGGAAACCGAGUCUUAACUGGGCGUUAAGUUGCAGGGUAUAGACCCGAAACCCGGUGAUCUAGCCAUGGGCAGGUUGAAGGUUGGGUAACACUAACUGGAGGACCGAACCGACUAAUGUUGAAAAAUUAGCGGAUGACUUGUGGCUGGGGGUGAAAGGCCAAUCAAACCGGGAGAUAGCUGGUUCUCCCCGAAAGCUAUUUAGGUAGCGCCUCGUGAAUUCAUCUCCGGGGGUAGAGCACUGUUUCGGCAAGGGGGUCAUCCCGACUUACCAACCCGAUGCAAACUGCGAAUACCGGAGAAUGUUAUCACGGGAGACACACGGCGGGUGCUAACGUCCGUCGUGAAGAGGGAAACAACCCAGACCGCCAGCUAAGGUCCCAAAGUCAUGGUUAAGUGGGAAACGAUGUGGGAAGGCCCAGACAGCCAGGAUGUUGGCUUAGAAGCAGCCAUCAUUUAAAGAAAGCGUAAUAGCUCACUGGUCGAGUCGGCCUGCGCGGAAGAUGUAACGGGGCUAAACCAUGCACCGAAGCUGCGGCAGCGACGCUUAUGCGUUGUUGGGUAGGGGAGCGUU